AUUGAACGCUGGCGGCAGGCCUAACACAUGCAAGUCGAACGGUAGCACAGAGAGCUUGCUCUCGGGUGACGAGUGGCGGACGGGUGAGUAACGUCUGGGAAACUGCCCGAUGGAGGGGGAUAACUACUGGAAACGGUAGCUAAUACCGCAUAACGUCGCAAGACCAAAGUGGGGGACCUUCGGGCCUCACACCAUCGGAUGUGCCCAGAUGGGAUUAGCUAGUAGGUGGGGUAAUGGCUCACCUAGGCGACGAUUCCUAGCUGGUCUGAGAGGAUGACCAGCCACGCUGGAACGGAGACACGGUCCAGACUCGUAAGGGAGGGAGCGGUGGGGAAUAUUGCACAAGGGGCGCAAGCCUGAUGCAGCCAUGCCGCGUGUAUGAAGAAGGCCUUCGGGUUGUAAAGUACUUUCAGCGGGGAGGAAGGCGGUGAAGUUAACAGCUUCACCGAUUGACGUUACCCGCAGAAGAAGCACCGGCUAACUCCGUGCCAGCCGCCGCCGUAA
rnacentral:rRNA from 1 species